CAUACAGAUUACUCCUAAGUUAGAAGACGAGCGUUAUCCGCCUUAUGCCUGAUCCCUGUUUUAAGGAGGACUCCUGUGGACUGUGUAACAAUGAAACAAAGUAGUGAGGAAGCUAUUGAAUUCACCACGUGACACAAACUGUACAGUAACCAAGAAUAAUUACCAAGACACAGAUGAAAUGAGAGAGCAGACAAAUCUACACCGGGCUUGUGGGAGGUUUCACAAAAGAGGAAUCAAUGGUGCCUGAGGACAGACAGACCACAACUUGGAAUGGCAAGCAGGAGGGAAAAGAGGCGGCUCAGCGCUGGGCUCCUGGGAGCAGCAGGAAGCUGUUUUCCACUACAGUAAAGAUCCGGUUGGUUUUGUGGCUAAAGAGGAGAAGGGGGAGCUGAGUCAUCCCUGUGCCUGGAGGAGCAGCUUUUAUCCUUGGUCAUGCUGGCGCUGACAAAGGAGCAGCAACCUGCCUGCCUUCGGAUUAAGCAGAAACAGGAAAGUGAAAGAAGACACCGUGAAAACUCGCUCCAUUGCAACUGGCCCGGGCUUACCCACAAUGCAACUGUCACCAAGGGAAGGGAGUGAAGGGAGCCUCUCUACGCGUGAGAGAUGAAUCAAAGGUCGGAACUGAUCGUAUAGAAACAUCGGAACCCGAAUUUCCUCACUCUGAUUACUUCUGCACGAACAUUUUAUUUAGAAAUCUCUCUGGCUGGAAAUGGACUUGUCUGUCAAGUACCACGGUUAUAAUAACGGCACUACACUGCAAAGUAAGAGUUAACUGCGGAAAUGAACGUUAGCAUCCCGCGGUGGCUGGGAAUGUGUAACCAGCUCUCGCUGCCGAGGACAGAGGGGCAGAGUACGGGUGCCGCACAAUCAAAAAGAAAUGCAACCUGUGAGUCAGCUAUGACCUUGGAGAGCAGGGAGAGACACCUUCGAAACGGGAUUUUUAUUUCAUUGCUUGUUCCUCCAAGCAAAUUUUGGCUUCCUUCCUGAUGGAGAUCUACUCUGUGUGACAAGGAGCCUGGAACUGUUGAAAGAGAGCCUGUUGUCUUCCUUCAGGUUCUUUCUUAAAAAUAAAUGUAAUAUCUUAAAGUCAA